GAUCAUGGCUCACGGACGAACGCUGGCGGCGUGCUUAACACAUGCAAGUCGAACGGUAAGGCCCUUCGGGGUACACGAGUGGCGAACGGGUGAGUAACACGUGGGUGAUCUGCCCUGCACUUCGGGAUAAGCCUGGGAAACUGGGUCUAAUACCGGAUAGGACCAUGGACUUCACGGUUUGUGGUGGAAAGCUUUUGCGGUGUGGGAUGGGCCCGCGGCCUAUCAGCUUGUUGGUGGGGUAAUGGCCUACCAAGGCGACGACGGGUAGCCGGCCUGAGAGGGUGUCCGGCCACACUGGGACUGAGAUACGGCCCAGACUCCUACGGGAGGCAGCAGUGGGGAAUAUUGCACAAUGGGCGCAAGCCUGAUGCAGCGACGCCGCGUGAGGGAUGACGGCCUUCGGGUUGUAAACCUCUUUCAAUAGGGACGAAGCGCAAGUGACGGUACCUAUAGAAGAAGCACCGGCCAACUACGUG
rnacentral:rRNA from 1 species